CGCUUUGGGAGGGGCUCGCGGCCUAUCAGCUUGUUGGUGAGGUAACGGCUCACCAAGGCGACGACGGGUAGCUGGUCUGAGAGGACGAUCAGCCACACUGGGACUGAGACACGGCCCAGACUCCUACGGGAGGCAGCAGUGGGGAAUAUUGGACAAUGGGCGAAAGCCUGAUCCAGCAAUGCCGCGUGGGUGAAGAAGGUCUUCGGAUUGUAAAGCCCUUUCGACGGGGACGAUGAUGACGGUACCCGUAGAAGAAGCCCCGGCUAACCUCGUGCCAGCAGCCGCGGUAAUACGAGGGGGGCAAGCGUUGUUCGGAAUUAUUGGGCGUAAAGGGUGCGUAGGCGGUUUGGUAAGUCUUAUGUGAAAUCUAUGGGCUCAACUCAUAGACUGCAUGAGAAACUGCCGGGCUCGAGUUCGGAAGAGGGUCGUGGAAUUCCCAGUGUAGAGGUGAAAUGCGUAGAUAUCGGAAGGAACACCCGUGGCGAAAGCGGCUCACUGGACCAUAACUGACGCUGAUGCACGAAAGCUAGGGGAGCAAACAGGAUUAGAUACCCUGGUAGUCCACGCCGUAAACGAUGGAUGCUAGCCGUUGGGGAGCUUGCUCUUCAGUGGCGCAGCUAACGCUUUAAGCAUCCCGCCUGGGGAGUACGGUCGCAAGAUUAAA
rnacentral:rRNA from 1 species